rnacentral:rRNA from 1 species
GGGUGAUGCAUGGGCGAGCCUGAUGCAGCCAUGCCGCGUGUAUGAAGAAGGCCUUCGGGUUGUAAAGUACUUUCAGUUGUGAGGAAGGGGGUGUCGUUAAUAGCGGCAUCUCUUGACGUUAGCAACAGAAGAAGCACCGGCUAACUCCGUGCCAGCAGCCGCGGUAAUACGGAGGGUGCGAGCGUUAAUCGGAAUUACUGGGCGUAAAGCGCAUGCAGGUGGUUCAUUAAGUCAGAUGUGAAAGCCCGGGGCUCAACCUCGGAACUGCAUUUGAAACUGGUGAACUAGAGUACUGUAGAGGGGGGUAGAAUUUCAGGUGUAGCGGUGAAAUGCGUAGAGAUCUGAAGGAAUACCAGUGGCGAAGGCGGCCCCCUGGACAGAUACUGACACUCAGAUGCGAAAGCGUGGGGAGCAAACAGGAUUAGAUACCCUGGUAGUCCACGCCGUAAACGAUGUCUACUUGGAGGUUGUGGCCUUGAGCCGUGGCUUUCGGAGCUAACGCGUUAAGUAGACCGCCUGGGGAGUACGGUCGCAAGAUUAAAACUCAAAUGAAUUGACGGGGGCCCGCACAAGCGGUGGAGCAUGUGGUUUAAUUCGAUGCAACGCGAAGAACCUUACCUACUCUUGACAUCCAGAGAAGCCAGCGGAGACGCAGGUGUGCCUUCGGGAGCUCUGAGACAGGUGCUGCAUGGCUGUCGUCAGCUCGUGUUGUGAAAUGUUGGGUUAAGUCCCGCAACGAGCGCAACCCUUAUCCUUGUUUGCCAGCGAGUAAUGUCGGGAACUCCAGGGAGACUGCCGGUGAUAAACCGGAGGAAGGUGGGGACGACGUCAAGUCAUCAUGGCCCUUACGAGUAGGGCUACACACGUGCUACAAUGGCGCAUACAGAGGGCGGCGAACUUGCGAGAGUGAGCGAAUCCCAAAAAGUGCGUCGUAGUCCGGAUUGAGUCUGCACUCGACUCCAUGAGUCGGAAUCGCUAGUAAUCGUAGAUCAGAUGCUACGUGAUACGUUCCCGGGCCUUGUACACACUGCCGUCACACAUGGAGUGGGCUGCAAAGAGUGGUAGCUACGUCGGAGACGCUCAUCACUUGUGUUCAUGACUGAGGUGAGUCGUACCAAGGGAAACAAAA